rnacentral:rRNA from 1 species
GAUGAACGCUGACAGAAUGCUUAACGCAUGCAAGUCUUUGGCGAAGCUGUGCUUGCACAGCCUAGCCAAGGCGGACGGGUGAGUAACGCGUAAGGAACUUGCCCUGCAGUCAGGGAUAACAGACGGAAACGACUGAUAAGACCUGGUAAAGUCAGACGGACUCAUGUCCAGCCUGAUGAAAAGAGAUGCUGCAGGAGAGCCUUGCGUCCUAUUAGCUUGUUGGUGGGGUAACGGCCCACCAAGGCGAUGAGAGGUAGCCGGCCUGAGAGGGUGGACGGCCACAAGGGGACUGAGAUACGGCCCUUACUCCUACGGGAGGCAGCAGUGGGGAAUAUUGGACAAUGGGGGCAACCCUGAUCCAGCAAUUCUGUGUGCACGAUGAAGGUUUUCGGAUUGUAAAGUGCUUUCAGCAGGGAAGAAAAAAAUGACGGUACCUGCAGAAGAAGCGACGGCUAAAUACGUG